rnacentral:rRNA from 1 species
UGAUUGACACGACUCUCGGCAAUGGAUAUCUCGGUUCUCGCAUCGAUGAAAAGCGCAGCGAAAUGCGAUAUGUGGUGCGAAUUGCAGAAUCCCGCGAACCAUCGAGUCUUUGAACGCAAGUUGCGCCUGAGGCCAACCGGCUAAGGGCACGUCCGCCUGGGCGUCAAG